GAUGAACGCUGGCGGCGUGCAUAACACAUUCAAGUCGAACGGGGCAGCAAUGCCUAGUGGCGGACGGGUGAGUAACGCGUGAGCAACCUGCCUGUGUGAGGGGGACAACAGCCGACAACAGCUGCUAAUACCGCAUGAAGUAUUCGAAUCGCAUGGGUUGAAUACCAAAGAUUUAUCGCACACAGAUGGGCUCGCGUCCGAUUAGCUAGAUGGUGAGGUAACGGCUCACCAUGGCGACGAGCGGUAGCCGGACUGAGAGGUUGCACGGACACAUUGGAACUGAGAUACGGUCCAGACUCCUACGGGAGGCAGCAGUGGGGAAUAUUGGGCAAUGGGCGAAAGCCUGACCCAGCGACGCCGCGUGAAGGAAGACGGUCUUCGGAUUGUAAACUUCAAACAACAGGGAAGAAACAAAUGACUGUACCUAUUAGGAAGCCACGGCUAACUACGUGCCAGCAGCCGCGGUAACAC
rnacentral:rRNA from 1 species